AUUGAACGCUGGCGGCAGGCCUAACACAUGCAAGUCGAGCGGAGCGGCGGACGGGUGAGUAAUGCCUAGGAAUCUGCGUGGUAGUGGGGGAUCACGUCCGGAAACGGGCGCUAAUACCGCAUACUAGCAGAGUAGCCUAGGUCUGAGUAGCUAGUUGGUGGGGGAAAGGCCUACCAAGGCGACGAGCCGUAACGGGUCUGAGAGGAGGAUCAGGAACACUGGAACUGAGACACGGUACAGACUCCUACGGGAGGCAGCAGGGGGGAAUAGUGGACAAUGGGCGAAAGCCUGAUCCAGCCAUGCCGCGUGUGUGAAGAAGGUCUUCGGAUUGUAAAGCACUGUAAGUUGGGAGGCGUUACCAACAGAAUAAGCACCGGCUAACUCCGUGCCAGCAGCCGCGGUAAUUC
rnacentral:rRNA from 1 species